rnacentral:rRNA from 1 species
UACGUAGGGGGCUAGCGUUGUUCGGAAUUACUGGGCGUAAAGGGCGCGUAGGCGGCUCGGCAAGUUGGAUGUGAAAGCCCAGGGCUCAACCCUGGAAUUGCAUUCAAGACUGCCUUGCUUGAAUUCGGUAGAGGUUGGUGGAAUUCCCAGUGUAGAGGUGAAAUUCGUAGAGAUUGGGAAGAACACCGGUGGCGAAGGCGGCCAACUGGACCGACAUUGACGCUGAGGCGCGAAAGCGUGGGGAGCAAACAGG